GAAGAAUGGAGCUUUGCAUAUGGGGCAGCAAUGGAGCUUUCAUGGAGGAUUCAUUUCGGUAAGUGAGAGUGAGGUUGAAGAAGAAGAUGACAAUGAAUGGAAUCUGCUGUCCCAAGGUCCCAUAUGUCUCCCAAGUUAGGAGUUAGCGGAGCACUAAUCUUAUUUUUAAUGUUUAAUUAUUCCAAGUUUUCUUAUUUGCUCAUUUAUCUCAUUUUUUUUCACUAUUUACAUAAUGUAUCACAAUUUAAUUUUUCAUG
rnacentral:misc_RNA from 1 species